rnacentral:rRNA from 1 species
AUUGAACGCUGGCGGCAGGCCUAACACAUGAAAGUCGAGCGAGCGGCGGACGGGUGAGUAAUGUAUGGGGACUGCCCGAUAGAGGGGGAUAACUACUGGAAACGGUGGCUAAUACCGCAUACUAUCGGAUAAUCCAUAUGGGAUUAGCUAGUAGGUGGGGUAAAGGCUCACCUAGGCGACGAUCUCCAGCUGGUCUGAGAGGAUGAUCAGCCACACUGGGACAGAGACACGGCCCAGACUCAUGCGGAGGCAGCAGUGGGGAAGAUUGCGCAAUGGGCUCAAGCCUGAUUCAGCCAUGACACGUGUAUGAAGAAGGCCUUAGGGUUGUAAACUACUUUCAGCGGGGAGGCGUUACCAGCAGAAGAAGCAACGGCUAACUCCGUGCCAGCAGCCGCUGUAAUUC